GACAGAGGAGGCAAGCGUUGUCCGGACUGACUGGGCGUAAAGCGCGCGCAGGCGGAAGUGGGCGUCGGUGCUGAAAGACCACCGCUUAACGGUGGGAGUGGUGCCGAUACGCCAUCUCUGGAGGGUGGGCGAGGGCGGUGGAAUUGCCGGUGUAGUGGUGAAAUGCGUAGAGAUCGGCAGGAACACCCGUGGCGAAAGCGACCGCCUAGCCCAUUUCUGACGCUGAGGCGCGACAGCGUGGGGAGCGAACGGG
rnacentral:rRNA from 1 species